rnacentral:rRNA from 1 species
GACGAACCGUGCGAACGUUGUUCGGAAUCACUGGGCUUAAAGGGCGCGUAGGCGGACAAUCAAGUCAGGGGUGAAAUCCCACGGCUCAACCGUGGAAGUGCCUUUGAUACUGACUGUCUCGAGGGAGGUAGGGGCGUGCGGAACUUCCGGUGGAGCGGUGAAAUGCGUUGAGAUCCACAGGAACUCCGGUGGCGAAGGCGGCGUGCUGGACCCGUCCUGACGCUGAGGCGCGAAAGCCAGGGGAGCGAACGGG